GACGAACGCUGGCGGCGUGCUUAACACAUGCAAGUCGAACGGAAAGGCCCUGCGUUUGUGGGGUGCUCGAGUGGCGAACGGGUGAGUAACACGUGAGUAUCCUGCCCUUGUCUUUGGGAUAACUUCAGGAAACUGGGGCUAAUAUCGGAUAGGAGCUCCUGCUGCAUGGUGGGGGUUGGAAAGUUUCGGCGGUUGGGGAUGGACUCGCGGCUUAUCAGCUUGUUGGUGGGGUAGUGGCUUACCAAGGCUUUGACGGGUAGCCGGCCUGAGAGGGUGACCGGCCACAUUGGGACUGAGAUACGGCCCAGACUCCUACGGGAGGCAGCAGUGGGGAAUAUUGCACAAUGGGCGGAAGCCUGAUGCAGCAACGCCGCGUGCGGGAUGACGGCCUUCGGGUUGUAAACCGCUUUCGCCUGUGACGAAGCGUGAGUGACGGUAAUGGGUAAAGAAGCACCGGCUAACUACGUG
rnacentral:rRNA from 1 species